rnacentral:rRNA from 1 species
CUAUAAUGCAGUCGANGAGUUCUGAUUAUUGAAAGGUGCUUGCAUCUUGAUUUAAUUUUGAACGAGUGGCGGACGGGUGAGUAACACGUGGGUAACCUGCCCUUAAGUGGGGGAUAACAUUUGGAAACAGAUGCUAAUACCGCAUAAAUCCAAGAACCGCAUGGUUCUUGGCUGAAAGAUGGCGUAAGCUAUCGCUUUUGGAUGGACCCGCGGCGUAUUAGCUAGUUGGUGAGGUAACGGCUCACCAAGGCAAUGAUACGUAGCCGAACUGAGAGGUUGAUCGGCCACAUUGGGACUGAGACACGGCCCAAACUCCUACGGGAGGCAGCAGUAGGGAAUCUUCCACAAUGGACGCAAGUCUGAUGGAGCAACGCCGCGUGAGUGAAGAAGGCUUUCGGGUCGUAAAACUCUGUUGUUGGAGAAGAAUGGUCGGCAGAGUAACUGUUGUCGGCGUGACGGUAUCCAACCAGAAAGCCACGGCUAACUACGUGCCAGCCGNCCGCGGUAA